ACCUGAUAAAAGUUGUAUUUUGAAAAUUUGCUUUGAAACAGAAUGGAAGAUAGAUGGCAGAAAAAUGUUUUAGGCAUGAUAAUUAGUCAGGAACUGAUAACAAUAGCGUAGACAGAAGACUAAACAAUGAUAACAUUAGUGAGGAGAAAAGGAAGUAGGGAGUAGGGACGAAAGAGAGUGACUGUGAAAAGAAAAAUGGUAGGACUAUAAAACCUGUUGAAUAUGAUGAACAAUGACAGGAGGAGAAGAUAAAAGAACUUCAGAUGUUUUUGCUUGAUUCAUUACAGACUGAGUACCUUGGUUAGAUGACUCAAAUUUAGUCAUUAGUAGCCUGGACAUAUUACUGGAAAAUUGGAAGAAUCACGACUAAAUAUAUGUGAUGCCUUUUUGGAACUGCACAGGAUUCUAUAAGGAUAACUUCAACUGCAGAGUAACAUUAGAAGAAAUAUUUCAGAAGGCUUCAGAUUGAAAAAUUUAAAGAUUGUGUCUCCUAUAGUUUGUGCUGCAUCACUCAUUCAUUAUGAAGGCAAAGUCGAUGCGGUACACACAGAUCAAAGAAUUCAGAGCUGGAAGUAAAACUGGGUCAUCUAAUGAGCACUCUUCAUCAUUUGGUAAUGAAGAUACAAAAAGAAGAGGAAAGAUAAAUGAUUUGCCAAUGACCAGAUAUCCAACUAGUGGCAAAACAACUAUGAAAAUUCAAAAUUUCUGAUAGCAAAUUAUCUUUUUAUCAAUUCUAUAAAUUAUAUAAUAGAAAAUUUUUGUAAUUUGAGGACUUCCCAUUCAUGCCCUGAAAACAUGUCAAGGAUGCCAUUCUCUCUGUCACAUAGUAUGAUAGAGCUUUGACACUAUGGUCUUAUACUCCUGAUCAUA